UUUUUGACGGAGUCUUGCCCUUGUAACCCAGGCUGGAGUGCAAUGGCACGAUCUCAGGUCACUGCAACCUCUGCCUGCUGGGUUCAAGUGAUUCUCCUACCUCAGCCUCCUGAGUAGUUGGGACUACAGGCACAGGCAACCACACCCAGCUAAUUUUUAAAAUUUUUUUAUAGAGAUAGGGUCUCACUAUGUUGCUCAAGAAUUUAAGGCCAGCCUAGACAAUGU
rnacentral:lncRNA from 1 species